ensembl:misc_RNA Metazoa_SRP Metazoan signal recognition particle RNA
GUUGGUGGGGUGGGGAGUGCCUGUAGUCCCAGCUACUCUGGAGGCUGAGGUAGGAGGAUCGCUUGAGGCCAGGAGGACUGGGCUGUAGUGUGCUAUGCUGAUCAGGCGUUUGCUCUAAGUUUGGCAUCAAAAUGGUUACCUCCCGGGAGCGGGGGACCACCAGGUUGCCUAAGGAGGGGUGAACUGGCCCAGGUUGGAAACGGAGCAGGUCAAAACUCCCGUGCUGAUCAGUAGUGGGAUCGCACCUGUGAAUAACCACUGCACUCCAGCCUGGGCAACAUAGCCAGACCCCAUCUCAA